AUCAAAAUGCGCCUGCAACAGAUAAUUAACAUGUGACUCUUUGCGGGAACGUUUUUAUUUAUAUGCCAGAAGCAGGCGUGUUAACCUGAUUGAUGUGACCACGACACCCGUGACAAUUGUGCGAAGAUAAUUAUUCAAGGCGGUAUUAGAAAAGACAAGUUUAGAGUGACCAUGAAGUUAACUAUCCUAAACAUCGUUGCUAUACUCAACGCGUUCACUGUUGCCAUGGCAGCCUUUAAUACAGACGACUGGGAGGUGAAACAAUAUAUUUGCGAGGACGAUUUCAUGCCAGCUGUGAUUCACGUGUGCAGAACCAGUGUUGAACGAGAUAACGUGAGAGCACACAGAAAGAACGUUAACGCACUGAGAAGUUUAUUGCACCCGAAAGUCAGGCGUUCGGUAUACGAAGAGCUCAACCGUCUAGUGAAUGAACAAGCAACUCUUCACGAAAUGUGUUGUAGGACUUGCAGUUUGUUAUUCAUAGAGUUUUAUGUUGGCUUGACGAAUUUCUGUUAACACGCCUGUUGUAGCCUGCCAUCAUAACCUCUCGCGAGAUUUUCCGUGACGCGACAUUCGCCAGAGCAUGCGCAAUGUCCUAAUCUGUCAACUAACCUCCUAAUUACUAAUGAUAAUAAUAAUCUUUCUUGCGUUCGUAUCCCUAUUAGGAUUUUGACUAAAAUGCAAUACAGAUGUGAAGAAUGACAAACAAUUAAAGUGAGAAUAAAAAUACACACAAGAAAAUAAAAAAAAAUAAAAAUAGAUAUAUAUAAUUAUGCGUCUACCACCGAAUUUGUCGCUGCAUCUGGUCUAUGUAUAACAACUUUUAUUGCUUAAGUUAAUGAAAUUUAAAAAUUACUCUAAUCAAAUGUAUUUUAUAUAGAACAAAUAUUUUAUAAACAUUUCCUGUAAUGUAAUAUAUAUAUAACAUUGUAAACGUUAUUAUUGAUGUUUUAUUGUUAAUGUGUGAUGUUAAGUUGUACUGUGUAUAUAUUAUUCUAACUGGAUUAGAUAAACCUAUUUUCAUUAU